rnacentral:rRNA from 1 species
UACCAGCACCCCGAGUGGUCGGGACGAUUAUUGGGCCUAAAGCAUCCGUAGCCGGUCCUACAAGUCUUCCGUUAAAUCCACCUGCUUAACAGAUGGGCUGCGGAAGAUAAUAUAGGGCUAGGAGGCGGGAGAGGCAAGCGGUACUCAGUGGGUAGGGGUAGAAUCCUCUGAUCCAUUGAAGACCACCAGUGGCGAAGGCGGCUUGCCAGAACGCGCUCGACGGUGAGGGAUGAAAGCUGGGGGAGCAAACCGG